UCUACUGUGAAUUCAUGAAUAACUCUUCUCAGCUGGCGAGUUUCUUCUUCCUCAUUUUCAUCAUAGCGUUCACACACGAAUCGACGAGUUCAGCGAUCAUCAAUCCAUCUAAGUCUAAGCAAAUUUCAUGGAAACCUAGAGCUUUUGUAUAUGAAGGAUUUCUUACGGAUGAAGAAUGCAAUCACUUGAUAUCACUUGCGAAAUCGGAGCUGAAGAGAUCUGCUGUGGCAGAUAAUGAGUCUGGAGAGAGUAAGCACAGUGAGGUUAGGACCAGCUCUGGAAUGUUCAUUUCCAAAGCUAAGGAUCCUAUUGUCUCAGGGAUAGAGGAUAAGAUAGCAACUUGGACCUUUCUACCCAAAGAAAAUGGAGAAGAAAUACAAGUACUACGAUAUGAGGAGGGGCAGAAAUAUGAGCCGCAUUAUGAUUACUUUGUAGACAAGGUUAAUAUUGCUCGAGGUGGACACAGGUUGGCUACUGUACUUAUGUAUCUCACUGAUGUUGAAAAGGGAGGUGAGACUGUCUUCCCAAAAGCAGAGGAAUCUCAUCGACGUAGGUCAAUGGCAGCAGAUGACAGUUUGUCUGAAUGUGCAAAGAAGGGCAUAGCAGUGAAGCCACGAAAAGGAGAUGCCCUGCUUUUCUUUAGUCUCUAUCCAAAUGCCACUCCUGAUCCUAUUAGCCUCCAUGGUGGGUGCCCUGUACUUCAAGGUGAGAAAUGGUCAGCAACAAAGUGGAUUCAUGUGGAUUCCUUUGACAAAACUGUGGGUACCGAUGGAAAUUGCACCGAUGCUGAUGAGAAUUGUGAGAGAUGGGCUGCUCUUGGCGAAUGCACCAAGAAUCCUGAGUAUAUGCUGGGAAGUGCAGACCUUCCAGGAUAUUGUAGGAAGAGCUGCAAAGCAUGUUAAAUCAGUAUGCUUCUCUCUCCCACUAAAUUAGUGUCGAGAGUCGAGACAGUGACAGUAAUUUGGUUUAGUUGUUUGUAUUUUAUGUUAACUUUCUUCAACUUCCUCUUUUCCUAGUGACG
rnacentral:misc_RNA from 1 species